GAUGUAUGAGGGGAUGGAGUUCCCCGCGACCGCCCUCGAGGCUGAUGACUCCUGCCAGAAA
rnacentral:ncRNA from 2 species